ensembl:snRNA U6 U6 spliceosomal RNA
GUGCUUGCUUCAGCAGCACAUAUACUAAAAUUGGAAUAAUACAGAGAAGAGUAGCAUGGUCCCUGCACAAGAAUGACAUACAAAUUCGUGAAACAGUUCAUAUUUUU